rnacentral:lncRNA from 1 species
CUCUGGCCAGUUCUGCAGGAUCCUGGGAGAAGAGCUGGUGGGAGAUGGUUAUGCUGGGUGUCACCUACUGGCUGAGCUCCCCUGGUUCUGACUGGGCACAAAUUCAUUGUUUUGUGACCAUUUAGGGAUGAGGAGUUCAGAAGACUGAGAAAGGCACGCUGUGGUUAGGUGUGCACCCUGGCAGCAGGACAUCGGAGACACACCUUACCUGAAAUGCAAGGAAGGGGGAGCCCUGCAGGUUCAUAAAAUCUUCAUUUCAAUCUUAGACUAUGAGAUUUAUAAACCAAGGCCUUCUUUUGUCAAACUUUUGUUAAAUAUUGGACUGGAUGAAUUGAUGAACUUUACAUAAAUAUUUUAAAAAUAAAUUGUUGAAAUUUUGUGUAAAAUUCACAAGGUGCACUUGCCUUGUCUCUUUUACAGUAUUGCAGAGCUCAAUUGCCUUGGUAAGGAAUAUUUAAUCUAUGUUUUCCUUUCAUAGGAAAGUCUCUUCAUUUGGCUUCUUUUCAGAUUUUUAGUUCUGUCUGCUUGUUCAUUGAAUUUUGUUAUUAUUUUCAUCUAAUAUCUGGAUAGGAGACAUGGUCAAAGAAAAGGAACAGAGAGAGAAAAUGAGGUUGCUUGGGUGUAUGUAUAAGGUGACCUACAGAGCCAAAUUCUGGAGCUUCUACAAAGCUGUGUAUGGGCAUUUGCUACUUGCUUUCUUCAAGUACACACUGGAAAAUUAAUAAAGAGUAAAGCGGCAGCUCCCAUGGAAAGAUUAGAAGAAACAAAGGAGCAAAUCUGCUGCAUUACUUAUGAACAGGACAAUGGGGCCCCAAUGAGUCACCCUAUUCAUAUAUUUUUGGAACCCAGAGGAAUUGGGUUCUAUUGGGGACUAUUUACAGAUUAUAACAGUUGGUAGUUGAAUGUUUUAUUUUCAUUCCCAGUUGGUACAAUAUGUUCACAGCUGAUGCUAAUGGCUUGCCCAUUUGAUAUCACAUAUGGUCCACUAUUUGGGUCUCCUAAAGCUUUCUUUUGUGGUCAAGCUGCUUUAAAACUUGUGUAUGCUUAGGUUUGUUCUGUCUGCUGGAAAGGUGAAUAUGAAACUGAAACUGGGCAGCGCUGGAGUAACUCAGCAGUUCUGUUGAUAAAGAUUCAAAGAAUUUUGAAUGUCUGAAUGUCCCAUAAAGAAUAUUUUUAUAUAAAAUUGAAUAAAAACAGAUGUCUUACAACA